AUGGUCUCAAAGAGGAAAAAGUCAGUGGAGUUGAUUAACUCUAGGCUCCAACUUAUGAAAAGUGGAAAGUAUGUGCUGGGGUAAAAGUAGACUCUGAAGAUGAUCAGAAAAGGCAAAGCAAAAUUGGUCAUCCUCACUAAAACUGUCCAGCUUUGAGGAAAUCUGAAAUAGAGUGCUAUACAAUGUUGGCCAAAACUGCUGUCCAUCACUACAGUGGCAAUGAUGGGCACGGCAUGCAGAAAAUACUAGAGAGUAGGCACACUGGCUAUCACUGAUCCAGGCAGUUCUAAU
rnacentral:lncRNA from 1 species